GCGCCCGUAGCUCAGCUGGAUAGAGCGUCUGCCUCCGGAGCAGAAGGCCACAGGUUCGAAUCCUGUCGGGCGCACCA
rnacentral:tRNA from 2 species